rnacentral:rRNA from 1 species
UACGUAGGGUGCAGGCGUUAAUCGGAAUUACUGGGCGUAAAGUGUGCGUAGGCGGUUCGUUAUGUCUGCUGUGAAAGCCCCGGGCUUAACCUGGGAAUGGCAGUGGAAACUGGCGGGCUUGAGUGUGGCAGAGGGGGGUAGAAUUCCACGUGUAGCAGUGAAAUGCGUAGAGAUGUGGAGGAACACCGAUGGCGAAGGCAGCCCCCUGGGUCAAAACUGACGCUCAUGCACGAAAGCGUGGGGAGCAAACAGG